UGUCCGCGAAGGAACAGCGGCGAAAGGGGCCUGCAGAGACGGGCAGGCCCCUUUCUGAAGCCGGCUUGAGUCAACACUAAUCAAUUCAGCCGCAAUCACGCUGUAGGAUUCGGCUGAGAUUACUGUUCAAGUCACACUACAAAGUCCAGUAUCAGCGGAUGCUUUGGACAAAGGACACAAGAGCAAUUUAGAAUAAGGUCAAUUAGAUAAUAAGUUUGCGACCCGAAGUUCGAGUAGGGGAAAAGAGAAAAGUCUUACGUUUCGCAAAGCGUAAGCCUUUUUUCUUUUCCGCCCUUUUUUCCCCAAACAUUAUUGAAACUCCGCGUUGGUGAAACGCGGGGUGAAAAGGAUCGGACAAUAUAAAAGCCCCAAUGCGUUAUAUUUGCAACGCCCCCAAACUAUCUAAGGAUCAAAUGCAAGCUCCAACGCCGCAUUCUCUUGCCGGGGUCGUGAAAGAUGAGUCUACCGCAUCGUCCGAUGGCCGCCCGCGGAUCGAAGUGUAGAGGUCCGAUACGAUGGUUAAGCUUAUGGUUACAAAUACGAGCCUUUCACAUCCAAUGAAUCAACUAGCAACUGCUACCUUGCAACUAGCAAAACAGCAAAUUGAAGUUCGUACCCCAACGCAUAAAACAACCCAACGGAAAAACGCAGAAAUCCAAAAAACAAAAAACAAAACAAAAAAAAAGGUGGGAAACUAAAUUCUAAAAUCUCACGUAAAGAACGCAAAAAAAAACACCUUUCUCCAGACACUUGGGAAAUGGAAAUUAAGCAAAACCAAUCAUAUCAGUCGUAACAUUUUUCUCAUCAAGGCCAAAAAAGGUACUAGACUGUCUCUGUAUAAUAAGUGAUUUUGCUUACCUUACCUCCACCGUUCAUCCACUCCGAUGUCGGCCAUUAUGUUUUUGAAUAAUAAGUCUACAAAAAGGGUUUGGGUAACCUUUAAAAAAAUAUAUAUGCAACCCAAUAUUCUGAGGUGACUAUAGCCACAGGUUGCCAGAUGUGAUACAUCGUUGGUUAGUUGGAAAACGUAACAAUUUUUGAAACUGUUGGACGUUAGUUAAUUACUCUUCCUUUUUUUUUGGUGGAUGCAUUGGCAGAAAAAUUUUUGCAUAAAAAAUGAGUGUUUUACUAUUGUAUUGCGGUAUUUGCAUUGUCCGAACGUUAUCAGUAAUCGAUAAUGCAGAUUAAUACACAAUAAUCAACAUC